UAGAUCAUACACAGUAAUAUGUAUAUAGUGAGAU
rnacentral:guide_RNA from 1 species